CUUAUUUAUAAUAUUUUGUGUUUCACUUUAUUCGUUUUUAUCUCUUUUGUCAUUUGUCCACAAUUUUUAUUGUCCAGUUUUUGUUGUUUUCUGUCUGUUGUUCUUUUGAUCAUAAAGUAAAAUCAUCUUUGGUUCAGUUUCACAUAGCUGUGACUAAAUGUUGUGUUCCUUUGUAGACACUCUGUGAUCUGGAAGUCGUGAUGUGGAAAUAAGAAACUGAGGCUGAAUGUUGUUAAGAAGUUUCAGAUUGUUCACAACGUUUUGUAAAAAGAGAAUUCCUUAAAUGUGAACAUUCUCAGAAUGUACUUUUCACUAAAACAAAGGAAUAAUUUGGAGUUGUCGUUAUUUAUUUAUAGGUUGUUUUGCUGUGAUUUUACUAGCUCAGCCCACUGGAUAUCAAACUGUUCCGAAUGUUUCUCCUGAACUAAGAUGAGUUUGACAUCCUUGAUAUAAAACAUCGUGAAAACUGAGCAUGAAUUACAUCCUGCGAGUGCAAACUCCUUGACGCUUUAUUUGAUUUCUGAUUGGAGCCCUUCAGCCGGCCGACGCCCUCCACUCUCACCAAAGUGCCCUCUGAAGGAUGCCAUAAUUUCAUCUGCUGUAGUGGUCCGGGGUCGAGUCCCUGCAGGAUCCAAAGGAAAACCUCGUCCGACCGCCUGCAAAUCAUCCCAACCGUCCAACUGGAGCUGAAGCCUCCCUGACCCUGUUCAUGUUUGUCUUUUCAGACACCAGCUAAUGCCAUUCAAUCUGCACGUGCACCUGCAUAUGACUAAUACCUGUGUAGUUCAAAGAUAAAAGAGCCGUUUUAACCUCGGUUCACUGUGAUGAUUAACAGUAAUUAGCGAUUAGCAUUUUUAUGAUACAUAGCCAUGCGUCGGCCUUUGAUCACCACUGGAUUUUUUUUUUCCCCGCUUGAAAGGCUUUACUGCAGCUAUGCCCUCAGAGCUUCGCCAUCUCUCAUGUCUGCACUGAAUUUCAGCGUGUGAUCUAAUGGACUGGAUGUACAGCGCAUUCAGAAAGCAUUCCUACUGCUAAAGUUGUUCAAAUUCACUUUUCCCUUUGAUAUUUUAGAAAUUCUUUGCAAAUGUUUGUCAAAAAAGGAAAAAAAAAACCUUUGCUUGAAAUUGAACUCAGGUGGCCCCUUCUUUUGUCUUGAUUUGACACAAACACUUUUAUGACACCAAGCAAAUAGUCAUAAAUGCUCUUAUCGGCCUUUCUAACAGUGUGGACGUUACAGUCAGAUUCAUGGUGGCGUAAACUAUGACAUUUCAUCUUUAUCACAUCCAGCGAUCACUUCUUGAGCUGGUCUGAGAUCAGGCAACUUCCAGGCUCUACUGUAAAGUCUGGAGAGGGAACUUUUUGUUCCGUUUUAUCUCAACGUGACAAAAUGCAAUCUGCAGAUGGCAAGAAUGUGUUAAUUUCUUUGCAAAAUAAGGUGUUAAAACAUGCAAAGUCACAUGUUCUGUUCCAGCCACAGCUUAGGCUGUGAGCUGCAGGGCUCUCUCUCUCCUACAGGUGUGUGCUGAUGAGGAGUCCAGGUGUGUGUCACCUGUCAUCAGCUGAUCAUGUGCAGGUGGAGGCCAGCGAAUCAGGUCCUGGCGUCUUAUAAGAGCCGUCAUCAGUCGUCAUUUGAUGCCGGACGGUGCUUUUGGUUACCUGACUCCUCCGGCUCCUUGGUCUGCUCCUGGUCCUCUGUGGACUCCGGCUGAGUCUCCCUAUGUUAGCAUAGCGGCUGUGUUAGCUCCCUAUAGUUAAGAGCAGUUUGGGUUGAGCUUUUGUGUUUUCGUGCAGAGUUCUGGUUGCUUAGUUUUUGUUAGUUAGAUUUCCCUUGUUGUUUUGCUCUCCUACCUUGGUGUUACCAACAGUGGGUUAACCUCAGCUUUUGGGUUUGUUUUGUUAUUAGUCUUCCCUGCAUCUAGAGGCUCCUAAGUUGGUUCCCUGAGAGUUGUACAGCUAGUUCUGGUUCCGGUUGUAGUUCUGUAUUCUUCCUGCUUCUGUGAAUAAAUUUGUUCUU